rfam:Eutrema salsugineum unplaced genomic scaffold scaffold_6, whole genome shotgun sequence.
AAACCGUGAUGAGGACACUGAUUAGUAUAGUUUCAAAACCGUUCCCAAGCUUCUCCAAAGCUUUCAUUUGUGUGCUGAGUGAAAUUUGAAAUAUGGUUUCUGAGCUU